UUCUCCCUGCCUCUCUUUUUCUCCCCGCCUUCCUCUGCAUACCCGUUCCUCUCUUAUGGUGUGUUUGUGUAGUACUGUGUCUAGUGUUAGGCUGUUAGUUCUCUGCAUUUAUCCCUUGUGCUAGAGGUGGUGGCUGAUGUCCCAUGUCCUUGUCUAAUUUAAUCUCACUCAUUUAUCAUUGCUAAUUGGGUCUAAACUUGAUGUACUCUCUCUGAUCCAAAAUAAGUGUCGGCGACUUAGUACAAACUUUGUACUAGAUUAGUACAAAAUCUCCGACAUUUAUUAUGGAUCCGAGGGAUUACUAUACUUAGUGGCAAGCUAGCUCAGUGGUGGCACAUUGUAUGUUGUUUGGAAGUUCUGCAAUCUGAAUGUAUCAAUUUCAUUUUGGUGUUAAAUUGUUCGUCCUUCUGGUUUGUGCACCAGCAUGCUCUACUACACACCGGCAGUUAGUUUUGGGUGCUAGAUGUAGAGAUGAAGUUCCUGGAAUCAUUUAAGGCCUUCCUUGUAUAGUUUUCUUACAUCUUGAUUAAUUCAUUUUGUGCCAUGAAGUAUCUGUAAUCCAAUUCCAGUUGUGUGUUGCAAAAUGACCUUAGUUAUCUUAGGGGAUAAUCUUUAUUUUUGUUCUUUCGUCCUGUUACAAAUUCAUACGUUUAGAAAUUGUUUGAGUCAUUGGAAUAUUGUAAUUACCUCUAAUGGGUUGUAGUAUUUGUUUUAAUCAACAUGCAUCUUUACCGAAUACUAAUCUUCUUUAUUUGUUUUACCCAUAUUGCAGUUGAUGGACAAGGCAUGGACACACAAGUAUGCCAGAAUUUUUCCUUGAUGUGAUGCAAAGUAUCCUACUUGUGGAGUUGACAGUCGAGCUAGGCAGCAUGACCGGCUGUGCUCGUUGGAUACUCAUGUAUAUGAGUAGCAAAGUCUGACAAAGAUCUCAUGUGUGAUGCAAGAUUGGGGUCCGCGGAUGCCCUCUGCAUAUGUUGUGGUCAAAUUGAGGUGACAACCGGGAAUGACAUCUCCAUCUUGAGGAUGAGAAGCUUUCUAGCACCUUGGUUAGCUCAAGUGAUGCUAUGGUUGCAAGCAACGAUCAACGAAGGUUUCAGGCUGACAAGAUUUGUCUUGAUUCCAUGGAUGUUCAAACACUUAGGAAGACAAUUUGUCAAGAAGUAUUAUGUUUUCCUA